rnacentral:rRNA from 1 species
CUACGUAGCUCAGAGUUUGAUCCUGGCUCAGGAUGAACGCUGGCGGCGUGCUUAACACAUGCAAGUCGAACGAUGAAGCCCAGCUUGCUGGGUGGAUUAGUGGCGAACGGGUGAGUAACACGUGAGUAACCUGCCCUUAACUCUGGGAUAAGCCUGGGAAACUGGGUCUAAUACCGGAUAGGAGCGUCCACCGCAUGGUGGGUGUUGGAAAGAUUUAUCGGUUUUGGAUGGACUCGCGGCCUAUCAGCUUGUUGGUGAGGUAAUGGCUCACCAAGGCGACGACGGGUAGCCGGCCUGAGAGGGUGACCGGCCACACUGGGACUGAGACACGGCCCAG